AUAACAAGUGCAAGUAGUGAUGAGGAACUUUUAGAUGGAGCAGGUGUUAUUAUGGACUUUCAAACAUCUGAAGAUGACAAUUUAUUAGAUGGUGACACUGCAGUUGAGACGGGGUUUCUCCAUGUUGCUCAGGCUGGUCUGCAACUCCUGGGCUCAAGCAAUCUACCUGCCUUGGCCUUUCAAAGUGCUGGGAUUACAGGCGUAAGCCACCGUGCCCGUCCUCACAGGGCUUUUAUUAUUAACAUUCUUCAAUAUCUCCUACUUGAAUCACAAGAUUCCACAAUGACACCAUUAUUAUAUAGUAUAAACAUUGAUUAUUUGUGAUGUUCUGGCAGGAUUCAUAGGUGUAUUUUAGACUAUCUUCGAAUAGAUGGACUGUAUAGAGAGUUUCAGGAGGUCAUCAAUGUAUAUUUUUUCUGAGGUUUGAUAUAUAUUAGGUAACAGUGAUUUUAGAAUUAUAACAGAGCUAUAUUAUAAAAGAGUGUAUUAUUUACAUUUAGCUAGUUUUUCUUUAGCAACAGAACACAACCCAGCUGAAUGUAAGACUGAAUAGAAGCCACCAGAAGU
rnacentral:sRNA from 1 species